rnacentral:rRNA from 48 species
ACGGGUGAGUAACACGUGAGCAACCUGCCCUGGACUCUGGGAUAAGCGCUGGAAACGGUGUCUAAUACUGGAUAUGAGACGUGAUCGCAUGGUCGUGUUUGGAAAGAUUUUUCGGUCUGGGAUGGGCUCGCGGCCUAUCAGCUUGUUGGUGAGGUAAUGGCUCACCAAGGCGUCGACGGGUAGCCGGCCUGAGAGGGUGACCGGCCACACUGGGACUGAGACACGGCCCAGACUCCUACGGGAGGCAGCAGUGGGGAAUAUUGCACAAUGGGCGAAAGCCUGAUGCAGCAACGCCGCGUGAGGGAUGACGGCCUUCGGGUUGUAAACCUCUUUUAGCAGGGAAGAAGCGAAAGUGACGGUACCUGCAGAAAAAGCGCCGGCUAACUACGUGCCAGCAGCCGCGGUAAUACGUAGGGCGCAAGCGUUAUCCGGAAUUAUUGGGCGUAAAGAGCUCGUAGGCGGUUUGUCGCGUCUGCUGUGAAAUCCCGAGGCUCAACCUCGGGCCUGCAGUGGGUACGGGCAGACUAGAGUGCGGUAGGGGAGAUUGGAAUUCCUGGUGUAGCGGUGGAAUGCGCAGA